AUUGAACGCUGGCGGCGUGCCUCAUACCUGCAAGUCGAGCGAAGCGGGGACGGGUGAGUAACACGUGGAUAACCUCCUAUAAGCCCGGGAUAACAUCGGGAAACCGGGGCUAAACCGGAUACUUAUAGAUGGAGACGCGCUGCAUUAUCUAGUUGGAAAGGUAACGGCUUACCAAGGCAACGAUGCAUAGCCGACCUGAGAGGGUUAUCGGGCACACUGGGACUGAGGCACGGUCCAACCUCCUACGCGAGGCAGCAGUGGGGAAGCUUCCGCAAUGGGCGAAAGCCUGACGGCGCAACGCCGCGUGAGUGAGGAAGGUCUUCGGAUCGUAAGACUCUGUUAUUAGUGAGGGGGUACCUAUUCAGAAAGCCACGGCUAACUACGUGCCAGCAGCCGCGGUAAUAC
rnacentral:rRNA from 1 species